AAACCAACAGGGAUUACCUCAGUAACGGCGAGUGAAGCGGUAAAAGCUCAAAUUUGAAAUCUGGUACUUUCAGUGCCCGAGUUGUAAUUUGUAGAAUUUGUCUUUGAUUAGGUCCUUGUCUAUGUUCCUUGGAACAGGACGUCAUAGAGGGUGAGAAUCCCGUUUGGCGAGGAUACCUUUUCUUUGUAAGACUUUUUCGAAGAGUCGAGUUGUUUGGGAAUGCAGCUCAAAGUGGGUGGUAAAUUCCAUCUAAAGCUAAAUAUUGGCGAGAGACCGAUAGCGAACAAGUACAGUGAUGGAAAGAUGAAAAGAACUUUGAAAAGAGAGUGAAAAAGUACGUGAAAUUGUUGAAAGGGAAGGGCAUUUGAUCAGACAUGGUGUUUUUGCAUGCACUCGCCUCUCGUGGGCUUGGGCCUCUCAAAAAUUUCACUGGGCCAACAUCAAUUCUGGCAGCAGGAUAAAUCAUUAAGAAUGUAGCUACUUCGGUAGUGUUAUAGCUUUUUGGAAUACUGUUAGCCGGGAUUU
rnacentral:rRNA from 1 species